rnacentral:misc_RNA from 1 species
AUUUGUUCACUUUAACGAUGUGGAAAAAAGUAUAAGUAAAGAUUCCUUGAUUAAUUUAGGGUUAUUUUUAGUUUAGGUCUGAGAAUGUAUUUUUAUGUCCUUGAUUGAUUAUUAGAAAUAAUUUUUAGUUUAUUUAAUUAACGAGUUCUUGGUAAUUUUUGAAAAACCGGUGUUGAGAUAUAGUUUUGAUUGGUUAUUAGUUAAUAGAUUUUAGAUUUAUUGGUAUAUAAGACUUUUUGGG